AUGAACGCUAGCGGCAGGCUUAAUACAUGCAAGUCGUGGGGCAGCAUGACUGUAGCAAUACAGUUGAUGGCGACCGGCAAACGGGUGCGGAACACGUACACAACCUUCCUUUAAGUGGGGAAUAGCCCAGGGAAACUUGGAUUAAUACCCCGUAAUAUAUAGAAGUGGCGUCACUUUUAUAUUAUAGCUCCGGCGCUUAAAGAUGGGUGUGCGGCUGAUUAGAUAGUUGGCGGGGUAACGGCCCACCAAGUCGACGAUCAGUAACUGGUGUGAGAGCACGACCAGUCACACGGGCACUGAGACACGGGCCCGACUCCUACGGGAGGCAGCAGUAAGGAAUAUUGGUCAAUGGACGCAAGUCUGAACCAGCCAUGCCGCGUGGAGGAUGAAGGUCCUCUGGAUUGUAAACUUCUUUUAUCUGGGAAGAAACCCAUCUUUUCUUGGUGGUUGACGGCACCAGAUGAAUAAGCACCGGCUAACUCCGUGCCAGCAGCCGCGGUAAUACGGAGGGUGCAAGCGUUAUCCGGAUUCACUGGGUUUAAAGGGUGCGUAGGUGGGCAAGUAAGUCAGUGGUGAAAUCUCCGGGCUUAACCCGGAAACUGCCAUUGAUACUAUUUGUCUUGAAUACUGUGGAGGUCAGCGGGAUAUGACAUGUAGCGGUGAAAUGCUUAGAUAUGACAUAGAACACCAAUUGCGAAGGCAGCUGGCUACACAAAUAUUGACACUGAGGCACGAAAGCGUGGGGAUCAACAGGAUUAGAUACCCUGGUAGUCCACGCCCUAAACUAUGGAUACUCGACAUUUGCGAUAAACUGCAAGUGUCUGAGCGAAAGCAUUAAGUAUCCCACCUGGGAAGUACGAUCGCAAGAUUGAAACUCAAAGGAAUUGCGGGGGCCGCACAAGCGGUGGAGCAUGUGGUUCAAUUCGACUGCAUACGCGAGGAACCUUACCUGGGCUAGAACGGCUGGUAACCGUGGGUGGAAACAUCCUUUACCGCAAGGGGCCUGCCAGUAGAGGUGCUGCAUGGCUGUCGUCAGCUCGUGUCGUGAGAUGUUGGGUUAAGUCCCGCAACGAGCGCAACCCCUGUCCUAGUGUGCCAUGCAGUAACGCGGGAACUCUCAGUGAGAACUGCCAGUCGAUAAGACGUGAGGAAGGUAGGGGAUGAUGUCAAGUCAUCAUGGCCUUUAUGUCCAGGGCUACACACGUGCUACAAUGGGCGGUACAAAGGGCUGCGAACAUAGUGCAAGACGGAAGCUAAUCGCCAGAAAAACCGGUCUCAGUUCGGAUUGCAGGCUGCAACUCGCCUGCAUGAAGCUGGAAUCGCUAGUAAUGGCGGAUCAGAACGGCCGCCGUGAAUACGUUCCCGGGCCUUGUACACACCGCCCGUCACAUCACGAAAGUGGGUUGUACUAGAAGUCCGCAGGCUGACCCGCAAGGGAGGCAGCGGCCCAAGGUAUGACUCA
rnacentral:rRNA from 1 species